ACGCUCGACACCUACGGGAGGCAGCAGGUGGGGAAUAUUGCACAAUGGGGGAAACCCUGAUGCAGCGACGCCGCGUGAGCGAAGAAGUAUUUCGGUAUGUAAAGCUCUAUCAGCAGGGAAGAAACUGACGGUACCUGACUAAGAAGCACCGGCUAAAUACGUGCCCGCAGCCGCGGUAAUCUGAGCGGGCUGGCAAGGC
rnacentral:rRNA from 1 species